rnacentral:misc_RNA from 1 species
GAUGAAGAACGUAGCGAAAUGCGAUAAGUAAUGUGAAUUGCAGAAUUCAGUGAAUCAUCGAAUCUUUGAACGCACCUUGCGCCCUUUGGCUAUUCCGAAGGGCAUGCCUGUUUGAGUAUCAUGAACACCUCAACUCUUCACGGCUUGCCGUGAUGAGUUUGGACUUUGGGGGUCUUGCUGGCCUACGAGCCAGCUCCUCUCAAAUGUAUUAGCUUGCCGGUGUUUGGUGGCAUCACAGGUGUGAUAACUAUCUACGCUUGUGGUUUUCCACUAGGUAACCUUCAGCAAUGGAGGUUCACCGGAGCUCACAAAUGUCUCUCCUUGCCAAGGACAGAUUUUGACCAUUUGAUCUCAAAUCAGGUAGGACUACCCGCUGAACUUAAGCACAUCAAUAAGCGGAGGA